rnacentral:rRNA from 1 species
CCUACGGGUGGCUGCAGUGGGGAAUAUUGCACAAUGGGCGCAAGCCUGAUGCAGCCAUGCCGCGUGUGUGAAGAAGGCCUUCGGGCUGUAAAGCACUUUCAGCGGGGAGGAAGGCGUUAAGGUUAAUAACCUUGUCGAUUGACGUUACCCGCAGAAGAAGCACCGGCUAACUCCGCGCCAGCAGCCGCGGUAAUACGGAGGGUGCAAGCGUUAAUCGGAAUUACUGGGCGUAAAGCGCACGCAGGCGGUCUGUCAAGUCGGAUGUGAAAUCCCCGGGCUCAACCUGGGAACUGCAUUCGAAACUGGCAGGCUAGAGUCUUGUAGAGGGGGGUAGAAUUCCAGGUGUAGCGGUGAAAUGCGUAGAGAUCUGGAGGAAUACCGGUGGCGAAGGCGGCCCCCUGGACAAAGACUGACGCUCAGGUGCGAAAGCGUGGGGAGCAAACAGGAUUAGAUACCCCUGUAGUC